rnacentral:rRNA from 1 species
UACAGAGGGGGCCAGCGUUAUUCGGAAUUAUUGGGCGUAAAGGGCGCGUAGGCGGCCUUCUAAGUCGAACGUGAAAUCCCCGGGCUCAACCCGGGAACUGCGUCCGAUACUGGAAGGCUUGAAUCCGGGAGAGGGAUGCGGAAUUCCAGGUGUAGCGGUGAAAUGCGUAGAUAUCGUAAGGAAGACCAGUGGCGAAGGCGGGUCUCUGGACAGUUCCUGACGCUGAGGCACGAAGGCCAGGGGAGCAAACGGG